GACGAACGCUGGCGGCGUGCUUAAUACAUGCAAGUCGAGGGGCAGCAGGGUGUAGCAAUACAUCGCUGGCGACCGGCGCACGGGUGCGUAACACGUAUGCAACCUACCUUUAACUGGGGAAUAGCCCUCCGAAAGGAGGAUUAACACCGCAUAACAUCACGAGACGGCAUCGCCUUGUGAUCAAACCUCCGGGGGUUAAAGAUGGGCAUGCGUCCGAUUAGCUAGUUGGCGGGGUAACGGCCCACCAAGGCGACGAUGGCUCGGGGGUCUGAGAGGAUGGUCCCCCACACUGGUACUGAGACACGGACCAGACUCCUACGGGAGGCAGCAGUGAGGAAUAUUGGUCAAUGGGCGGAAGCCUGAACCAGCCAUGCCGCGUGCAGGAAGACGGCCCUACGGGUUGU
rnacentral:rRNA from 1 species